rnacentral:rRNA from 1 species
GUUUGAUCUUGGCUCAGAUUGAACGCUGGCGGCAUGUCUUACACAUGCAAGUCGAACGGCAGCACGGGAGCUUGCUCCUGGUGGCGAGUGGCGAACGGGUGAGUAAUGCAUCGGAACGUAUCCUGGAGUGGGGGAUAACGUAGCGAAAGUUACGCUAAUACCGCAUAUUCUGUGAGCAGGAAAGCGGGGGACCUUCGGGCCUCGCGCUCUUGGAGCGGCCGAUGUCGGAUUAGCUAGUUGGUGAGGUAAAGGCUCACCAAGGCGACGAUCCGUAGCAGGUCUGAGAGGAUGAUCUGCCACACUGGAACUGAGACACGGUCCAGACUCCUACGGGAGGCAGCAGUGGGGAAUUUUGGACAAUGGGGGCAACCCUGAUCCAGCCAUGCCGCGUGAGUGAAGAAGGCCUCGG